AAUAUUGCCAUCAUCCAAGGGAAAAAAUCGAAGAUAUGAAAAUAAUUUCUUGAAGACAUUAGAAAAAAUAACGAAAGAGAUAUUUCGCAAAGAUAUGACACACCGAACGAAGAUAUCUGGCGCGUCGUGCUUGACGCCCGAGUAUUUACUCACAGCGACGUCCCUCUCCCCAUGUUUCUUCGCUGUGGAAUCGAAUCCUUUCCUCGGAGGGGGGUCUCCGAGAGGUGAGAGUGAGCGUAGGGGCAGAUUUUUACAACACGAGAGACACAAGAAGCAAGAACACCACGCCACCGUCGUUGCUGCGUCAGCCGUCUGUCACGAGGAAGUACACACGGGAAACGGUCGCGUUUCCCUUUUUACACGGCACGAGUGUUACACUAAAACAAAAGGGUACAAUAGGGAAAAAAAGACGUUAAAAAACGAAUAUUGUAAGCGGCCAGGAUCGUUGCGAUGCGGGGGAAGGUGGCUAUAGAGGGACGACGACGCGGAGAACGGGAAUCAGAGGAUGGGAAGAAUGAAGGAGAACGGGGAAAGACGCAGGGGGGAUGAUCUGGUCAGAGGGAUGGGUAGUAUACGUGGGAUGGAGUGUGAGGGGAGAGACAGACUUUCCCCUCUCGGCACCUAGUCGAUACGCAGAGGCCGAAUUCGCACGAAAUUCAGUAGAAAAUGGCCGUAUUGAAUACGGAACAUCACGAACGUUAGUUAACUAAUUCAAAAAAUUUAUUAUAAAAUCACCUUACCAUUUAGUACUUAGCAGCUUUUGCUCGCCUGGUCAAGAUUUUCACGAAGCCGAGAAUCUCCGAAAAAGAUCCCCCGCUCUAUGUGUGUGCCGUUGACACCUGUCCCUCAAGUCGGUGCCCCCACCCCAUCCGUCCGCCCUCUACUGUGCCAGCCUCUUAACUAUUUUUUCUCUCUCCCGGUCCUCCUCGCAACCGCGCCGGCGAAAAUGCCCGAAUCCAUCGGGGUUUUAACUUCGAAUUGCUCUCGGCGACUUGCCAUUAUUUUCUCUCUCUCAGUGCAUAAGAGUAAGAAGAAGUUAGAGAUAUAGCCACGGGCUCGAAAAUAUCACCAAUCAGAAGGAGUAAAGUAUAAAACGAAAUUUAACGAGUUAUAUAUCAUAAUAUAUAAUCAUAUAAUUUUAUAUUUUUGUUAAAUUAACAAUUAAUCAUUAAUCUUUAAUAAUAGUUAUUGUAGAAUAUAAAAUCACAUAUGAAAAUUUUUAAUGAAAUAUAGAAUAAAAAAAUUAUUGUAACGAAUAAUUUAUUUGUAAAUGAAUAGAAGAUUUUAUUAAUAAAAUUGGAAUUUAAUAUAUAGUAAACAUAAAGAAAAUAUAUCCUUAUACCCAUUAAUAGAAUAAUAUCAAUACAAAUAUACAAAUGAUCUAAAAAAUUAUCAAUUCCCCUGUAUAUGCAUUUAUCGGUUAAUAGUUUGUUUAUUUAAAAUGCGUCAAUAUAUUUUAAAUAUUAACAUUUUAUAAUCAAUAAUUGACAAAUUAAAAAUAUGGAAUCAAUAGUACAAACAAGUUUAUAAUUGGUUAAUCAAGAAAAAUUUGUUAUAUUAAAUGUAUGUUUUAUUUUAGCUAUUUUCUCCAAUAUUUAUGUAAGUAACAAUGAAAAUGACUUAUAGACUAUUUAUACUGAUUAUGAUAAUAGCUAUAAUAAUAUGAUAAUAAAAUAAUAA
rnacentral:lncRNA from 1 species